UACGUAGGGUGCAAGCGUUGUCCGGAAUUCUUGGGCGUAAAGAGCUCGUAGGCGGUCUGUCGCGUCGGCUGUGAAAACCCGGGGCUCAACCCCGGGCCUGCAGUCGAUACGGGCAGACUAGAGUGCGGUAGGGGAGACUGGAAUUCCUGGUGUAGCGGUGAAAUGCGCAGAUAUCAGGAGGAACACCAAUAGCGAAGGCAGCUCGCUGGGACGUUACUGACACUGAGGCGCGAAAGCGUGGGGAGCGAACAGG
rnacentral:rRNA from 1 species